UGCAAAAUUAUUGUUGUAUAAUUUUACACCUUUGAUUGAAAGUCAUUAAUUUCUUGUCAAUCUAAUUUACGCUCGAGGAAUGACCGGUUUCUCAUUCAGUGGAUAUUGCAGUAUGUAGGGAGUGCCUCUAGGGUGUGCACUUGACUUUAGUGACACUUUGCCAAUUAUUCCAAGCAGCGACUCAAAUUCUAAAGCCAAACCAAUGGAUGGAUGGCUUCGUUAUCACAAUAUUUAAUCAACAAAGUGGUCGUGCUAGGUGCUUCCCCGGCGUAAGUGUUAGGGGGCAGCUGUGCGUAACUGGGUUGGUUAUAUGCGACUGCGAACGGCCUCACAUUAUGCCUGUCGUGCCAAGAAAGGAAACUUGAGCACUUUGACGUGAUGAGUGAAUAAACAGGAUGUACAAGGUGAAUAAAUUAAAUAUGUUACCUUCACAUGGUCGUUGCCAGGAAACCCGAACAAUUAAACCCUAUUUACACUACUCGCUUCACCAAGAAGAAAAAUUCAUUUACCAAAACGGAAUUUUAAUUCACCGCGAUCAACGUGCGUCUACUAACUAAGUAUUAAUUAAUAGUGUUUUACAAGUUCAUGAAGAUUCUACGGAACUUUACUUAGUCGCAAAAUUAAAAGUGAGUUCAUUAGCUUCGUUAACGGUUUAGUCGAAAAUAGUAUCCACUCAGGAAAACGCAAAUGUAAUGAAACAAAAUUAACAAGAAUGGUGCAUUAAUCGCAUUAGGUAUGGCUGGUGUUUCACUAAUUGUACGCUCUACAACCGUAGCUGAGAAAUUCAAAGUUGGAGCAUUAAAUUUCACAAAAAUAAUAGCUAUCUAUUUCUACCUAUCAAAAAAUCCCAGCGAGUUGCAAACAGUGUUAAUAUUUAUUAGUUUAUUUAUAAUGCCACAAGUCGUACCUACGUGUUUUUUAACAAUAAAGAACUAACAAUAGAUAUAUCUACAAGCUAUCAGUCAAAAGGUAGUGUGCAUUGUAUUUUAAUAAAAAUAUCAAUUGAUGACACCGCCACAUGCCUAGUGACAACUUAAUGUCUUUGUGACCACAUGAGUUAUCGUUUUGAAAAAAUCAAGAAUUAUUAGCACAAUUUUUAUUUUGAAUGAAAAAUUUAAGUAGUAUAAAGUGUGUCUGCUAAAGCUAGUUAUAACACAGGUCACCUGUAAAAGAUCACUUUUUUCCUCUUUGUUAUUAUGCGUAUUUAUUACAAAUAUUUCUGAAUCGAAAUAUAAUAAUAAAAAUUAUGCAUCACAUAAACUUUUUUAGUAUAAUUUUUAUUAAAUAAAUGUUUGAUUUUAUUUGAAACUAUAACUGUAAAUUGACAAUAAAUCUUCGAUUAUUAAUAAUUAUUGGAAGUUUUGCAGUUAAUCAUGGAAACUAUAAAUCUGCGCCUUGUCAAACACAAUGAUUGUUGCUUUUAAAAAGUGCCGAAGUAUUGUAUAAUUGCGCCCACGCAAUUUACAAAUUAGAGAAGGUCGGGGAAGGUUAAUUAUUUAUAAUUUCUAACGGUCACUUGUAAACCCGCUAACGUGUUAAUAAAAACCUUCGAUUUUUUAAAGCCUUGAUCAUAAAGUGAUCAUUUUUAUUUAUUAAAAGUUGUUGCAACAAAUAUCAAAACACAGUCCAAAACUCCGAUUAAUUUUCGCAAGACGAAAGGAACAAAAAAAGUGAAAUGAAAAAGGUUGGUGAAACCGGGUAUGUGUGUGAGAAUAGCGCUCGCGUUGCACUCCGAGGUUAUUGGCCAUUGGCAAAGAUUUUCAGGCAUGAUAUAUGGAUAUUCCUUUUUCCAAACUGCAUUUUUAAACACCCACAGAUAAGCAUAUACGAUGAAAACUGGCUUUAAAGCACUUGAAACGGACCGCCCCGCGUGCUUGGAUUUUUUAUAUUCCUUAUAAGACUUUGACAUCUUCCAUAAAUAUUCCACGCUCAAAACCCUGGCUAAAUUUCGCUUCUUUUUUUGAUAUUGCUUUAUUUUCGUGCGGGCGGCAAUUAAUCACGCGCAAAAAUCAAAAAUUACUUUGGAAAAUACUCCAAACUGUAUCAAAGUAAUCGGCUUUGCUUGGUCCCGAUUACAUCGAGAUUUUUUUUUUUUGAUUAAGGUGUUAUGCCUUAAAAAAUAUUUUUUAUGGUGGCGAUAAGUUGAAAAGAAAACUGGCUAAAAUGAAGCUGCAUGGGCCUCGAAUGGCCAGGUCAACAAACUCGUUGCCUGCUACCGAUGUUGGCACACGCACACCUAGGUGUGCAUGUGUAUGCAUAUGUGACUCUUCGUCGAAGAGGGUACUACACCAAGCCAAGUCUGAGAACUGUCGUCGAUCGGAUCGACCGACGUGACAUCUUGACAUUUUUCCUACGCAUACGAAAUACCGAUUAUCUAGACAGAAGCGGAAAAUGACGCCGUAAAAGGAAUGGCAACGUUAUUAACCGUUUAAAAUAAAUUUGUAUUCUCAGAACACUCCCUAAAUGCUAAACGAGAGGCAACAAAAUGCGGGCUAGACGAACCUUCUUCCUUAUUAUUGCUCAAAAGCGCUUAAUUGCUAAUUUUGCAUCUUCAGUCUGCGUGACAGAUUCUUUUUCUAUUGCAGAUAAUAGAUAAUAUCCACUCUGACUUAUCUUUUAGCCAAAACAACCGUUUAAUUUUUUCAUUUAAAAUAAGUGUAGUUCAACAUUACUGUUGCAAGGUUCUCGCGUAAUGUAAUCGUUAAUAAUAGUGUUUGGAGAUAUGAACUAGAUCAGUAUGUACGAGGAUAACAAAUUGCUUGAUCAUAAUAUUUAUGUAGUAACUGCAAAACCGGUAUGGUCAGAGGUCAGAAACUUAGUUGCAUUCAAAUUAAUCGCUCAUUAAAACAAGCAAAUUAUUGGAAUUAAUAGAAGAAAUAAAAUCGAAUAUCCGGCAAAACCUGGCCGGUUUAUUACGAAAAAAAAUAAAUCAAAACAAAAUUCCAGAUUAUCUUAAUUUUUUGCUGGAUAGACGAGGACAAGGGUAAAUUUCGAAAUAAUUUAGAACGCUAGGCAACCAACGUCGCAAAUGUGCACAUUUAGUGGCCUACUUUAGUCAUUUCUGAGGCGAUUUCUGUAAUUUCAACACCACUAUUGAGACAGCUAAAUCAACUUCUGGGUAAAUAAUAGAUCCGACGCGACCGAUCUAUUUCCGGCACCUUCGUGUUUGCAAUUACUUCGAGGGUGGAAUCACAAUAAUUGCACAAAGUCACGUAAACAAAAAUUAAAUAACUUUCCUUAAAAACGAUUCCACUGGAUUGAAGAACACAACUUUCCUUAAUAAAGACAAUAAAACACGCCCACACUUUUAACAUAAACACGAAGUUAACGUUUUCUGUGGUUUUCCACACAAGUGACAAAUAACCGCCAACGAAAAAACUUGAUGAAUUAUGGUGUACUUUUGAAAUUAUCUUAGACUUACCCUGCAGACGCUAUUUAACUUUUCCUGGCUUGUUUUAAUUAGGUAUUUACCUAAUUAUUAUUACGUAAAAUUGUUUCGUAAAGCUCAAAGUAUUUAUUUAUUUAUUGCUCUUUUAAAGAAGAAAAUUAUGUAUAACUGUACUGGGAUUUGAGGAAGGGAAGUGUAAAAAAAUAAAAUUUCUAUAUAGAAAACUUAUUUAUUUUCCGGUUGUAACAUUAAAAUUUCUUGAAGCUCUUUUUCGAGCUACUGCCUUUUGUAACCUUUAGUACAUUAAAUCUGACAGUUUUAGAUAAGGGUCGGCAUUCCCCAAUUGUUACAACAUCCCCAAUUUCUACAUCCCUG